rnacentral:rRNA from 1 species
AAUCAACGCUGGCGGCGUGCCUCAGACAUGCAAGUCGAACGAUUAAAGCUCCCUUCGGGGAGUGCAUAAAGUGGCGCACGGGUGAGUAACACGUAAGUAAUCUACCCUCGAGUGGGGAAUAACGUCCGGAAACGGACGCUAAUACCGCAUAAUGCAGCGGCACCGCAAGGUGACAGUUGUUAAAGAUUUAUCGCUUGAGGAGGAGCUUGCGGCAGAUUAGCUAGUUGGUAAGGUAAUGGCUUACCAAGGCCGCGAUCUGUAACCGGUCUAAGAGGACGGUCGGUCACACUGACACUGAAUAACGGGUCAGACUCCUACGGGAGGCAGCAGUCGGGAAUUUUGGGCAAUGGGCGAAAGCCUGACCCAGCAACGCCGCGUGAAGGAUGAAGUAUUUCGGUAUGUAAACUUCGAAAGAAUGGGAAGAAUAAAUGACGGUACCAUUUAUAAGCUCCGGCUAACUAUGUGCCAGCCGCCGCGGUAACAC